rnacentral:rRNA from 1 species
GUGAGGAAUUUUCCGCAAUGGGCGAAAGCCUGACGGAGCAAUGCCGCGUGAAGGAUGAAGGCCUAUGGGUUGUAAACUUCUUUUCUCAGAAAAGAAUUAUGACGGUAUCUGAGGAAUAAGCAUCGGCUAACUCUGUGCCAGCAGCCGCGGUAAGACAGAGGAUGCAAGCGUUAUCCGGAAUGAUUGGGCGUAAAGCGUCUGUAGGUUGUUUAAAAAGUAUUCUGUCAAAGAUUAGGGCUUAACCCUAGAUAGGCAGAAUAAACUUUUAAGCUAGAGUUUGGUAGAGGCAGAGGGAAUUCCCGGUGGAGCGGUGAAAUGCGUAGAUAGCGGGAGGAACACCAAAGGCGAAGGCACUCUGCUGGGCCAAUACUAACACUGAGAGACGAAAGCGAGGGGAGCAAAUGGGAUUAGAAACCCGUGUAGUCC